CGUUGUGUCAGUGUGUCCAAAAUAACUCUUUUAUUUAUUUUAAAAAUCGCUUGGCAACACUGCACAACAAAGAAGAGUAAAAAUAAGUGCAAGUAGUGAUAAGAACCAUAUACAGCUAUGGGUACAUAUGGAUGUCUGACUGUAUUUAUAUUGCUUUUUAUCUCGAUUGUAAAAGAGCUAAGCAAUAGCGCAAACCGCAGAGACGAAUGAGAAGCGAAUGUUGCAGAGUGCAAUUAAACCAGUUUAACGGCAUAUACACACACACAUACACAUGCGCGCAGACAUGAAGACACGUAAAAACACACACACAUACGACAAGCAAUGAAGGAACGGGGAGAAAUGGAAGGAGAGCAAUAUGCCGUUGUUAAACUUUCGCGAAAGCCGGCGCCCUGAGUGCUGAUGCCUCAAAUCUAAACAAACUAACACAAAGGGUUACAAAGCA